GAUGAACGCUGGCGGCGUGCCUAAUACAUGCAAGUCGAGCGAACGGACGAGAAGCUUGCUUCUCUGAUGUUAGCGGCGGACGGGUGAGUAACACGUGGAUAACCUACCUAUAAGACUGGGAUAACUCCGGGAAACCGGAGCUAAUACCGGAUGAUAUUUUGAACCGCAUGGUUCAAAAGUGAAAGACGGUCUUGCUGUCACUUAUAGAUGGAUCCGCGCUGCAUUAGCUAGUUGGUAAGGUAACGGCUUACCAAGGCAACGAUGCAUAGCCGACCUGAGAGGGUGAUCGGCCAAACUGGACCUGAGACACGGUCAAGACUCCUACGGGAGGCAGAAGUAGGGAAUCUUCCGCAAUGGGCAAAAGCCUGACGGAGAAACGCCGCGUGAGUGAUGCAGGUCUUCGGAUCGUAAAACUCUGUUAUUAGGGAAGAACAUAUGUGUAAGUAACUGUGCACAUCUUGACGGUACCUAAUCAGAAAGCCACGGCUAACUACGUG
rnacentral:rRNA from 1 species